GGGACCGCAUAUCUUCAAAGCAAAAGUGCUGUGAAUUCCAAAGAAACAUCCUCAGUAGCUAAAGGGGAAAGAGGAGCAAGAAAUACCAAGACUUUAUAUAACAUGCAAAGUGAUCUGAUGGAAGAUGGAGUGGGCUGGAAAUCAGGACAUGUUACCUCCUACUCUGUCUAGCAAAGGUGGAAAUGUAAGGAGUGGUACUGCCGGAUCCUAUGGUAACUCUAUAUUUGAGCUUUUAAGGAGCUGCCAAAUAGUUUCCCAAAAUGGCUGCACUUCUCUCAGCAGUAUAUGAGAGUUCUAAUUUUGCCACAUUGUGACCAACAUUUGUUACUAUCUGUGUUUUUGAUUAUCGCCAUCCUAGCAGAUUUGAAGUAUCUUAUUGUGGCUUUGAUCUUCAUUUCCCUGAUGGCUAA